rnacentral:lncRNA from 1 species
UAUUUCCUUAUCAAAGUUAAAAAACAAAUAAAACCCCCAAACAAACAAACAAACCAAACAAAAAACCCCAAACACUACACAAAGACAUGCAAAUUUCUCUUUGCUCAAGAUUAUAUUUGAAAAAAAAUAAUGCAUUGCCUUUUCUCUGGAAACCCAACUUUAUAACAUUUUUUUUCUGUACAAAGAGUGCUAAAGUGAAACAGAAUCCUGAAAGCAGCUAGAACUUGACUAUAUCAAGUAAAAUAUUUGCCAACUGUAACUACGGGAGUGUAUAAACUGUGAAAGUGUAUUUUAAAUAUGCUGCUGAAGUACUGAACUAUUGGGAAAAGUGGUAUUUAUGGAGGGCUGUACUCCCUUUGGUAUACAACUGGAUCUAAUGGUCACUGCAAUUAGAUUCAAUAAUUAUUUUUGUCUCAGAGACAAAUGCUGACUGCUGCUGCUGUUUCACUUAAAUUUAAAAGAACAAUAGCCAGCUUGCCUGGAGGAGCAAAACUUACCAAGUCCAAACAGCAACCAGAAAAUACCCUCUGUGCUGAGCCUGUGAUAUGUUCUUCUCCAAAUAACUAGAGAUUUAUUCAUAAAGCCUUAAGUCAGUGCUCUAAGAAGUAAGAUACCUGCACAGUUUAAGGGGAGGCUGAGAUUUUAAUCUCCCUGCCAGUCAGUCAUCACAGUGUUGGCUCCAGCAGUGCUCCUGUCCAGGUGUGCAGGCUGCAGCCCAGUGCUGCUGUGUUUACUUCAGACACAGACAUGGAAAACAGGCAGGGCCCUGGUGGACAGGCUUAUUUGACAAAUGCCCAACCAACCCUUCAUCACCUUUGCUUUAGAAUACUGUCAAGUGCAGUACAAAUACAUGGCAGGCCAUUUGCCAAGCCCAUUUAAUUAAUCUACUAUUUUAUAAUUUCACAUUACCAGUUUGUAAAGCGAGUACUACACCUGAGUAGCAGUGAGAACUACAGGCUGUAUGCUGUUUAUGUAUAGAGGUCAUAUUUUUUACAACAGUGGAAACUUCUUGUAUCUGUAAUAGGUGCAGCAACACUACAGACUAAUUACCCUUUUGUCUCAAAUAAUUUUUCUGUCAUCCUCCUGCCCUCCCAAAGAGAGGCAGUUAAAAGAAAUACACAAGCUUCAAUUCCAAGGAUUUUUUUAGUUACAAUUUUCCUAACUUUAGCCUCCUAAAACCCACUAAGCCAUCCUGAAAUGCAGUACACUAUACACCAGUGAACCUGCCUCCACACCAAGGACUGGUUUAAUUCACCAUCAUCACAUUUAGUCGCUAUCAACAAGUGCUGGCCAUCAGCUUGCACUGCCCCAUACUCAGUGGACCUCAUUUUGCAGAGUUUCAAGCCCUUUCUGCUUCCAAAGAAGCCCACAAUCAGCCUACUGACCUUAACCCCUGUUCUGCCAGCUCCCACUGCUUACCAAGAUUUCAGUCUCCAUUUGGGCCACUUUAGAAACAAGGCAUCAUGCAUAUUGUCAGCACUGGAGCAGGCUGCCCAAAGCAGUGCCUGGGUCACCAUCCCUGGAGGGAUCUGGAGCCAUGUCAUGCCUGCUGUGGCACUGGGGAUGGGUUUAGGGAUGGGCUGGGCAGUGCUGGGAUGACUGAAAGGUCUUUUCCAACCUCCACAGUCCCAUGCUUGCAGAGCAAGGCUGGAGGCACAGUUGCAGGCUGCAGGACCAGGCUUGCAGGCUGUGCAGGCAUUAACAGGCAUGCAUGUGUCAUUUCUCCUGAGAAUGUAACUUCUGUGCUGCAUUACAACACGGCUUCAUGAUAUCUCCAUUUUCACACACUUACCAGCCAAGACUGUCAGUACCUCUUAUUUCAGUUCUUAGCAAACUCUACAAGAGAUGUUCCUCCAUGUGAAACUACUUGAGUAAAAAAAAAAUAUAUAUAUAAUUUACAAGAAACAUGUGGACGGAUGAGCUUAAAAUAAUGUUCAAUUUAAAAAUGAAGCUUUCCUAGCCUGAAAUGUUGAUGACUAAGUGAUUACUAAGCUUCCACACAUUUUAGUGUACAAGUUAUCACAAUGCUUCAGGUUUUGUUUUACAGUUACUAACUUGUGCUAUGACCUUGUUAAUGCUAUGUUAAUACCAUUAGUAUAAUUACAGCUAAUAUAAAGUUCUAAUAACACUGUAAGUCUAGCAGAAACCUAUUUCGAGCUCUAGUGUACCUUCAGUACAAAUACAAACCCAGACAGACUGCAUUUUCUAUAUUGUCUUUGCCAGAACCACAUCCACAGACUGGAACUGAAGAGAUGACAACAGAGUAUAUAAAACCUAAGUUUUUAUUUAGGUAUUCUGGCAUGUAUAAAUGUUAAGAUGUGAUUUAUAUAGUGUCACAUUUUCAUUCCAGUUUCUGUCAUAUUCACUAAUGUUUCACAGUUUAGGAAUCUUUUUUAAAUGAAUGGUCAAAAACAAAGUGUAUUUGCCACUAUUAUGUCUGCAAAAAUUUGUAUGGGCACUAAAGAAUAGACAAAACUUUUAUACAUACAUAUUUCAUUCUAAUAAUAAUCUAAUUUUAAAUUUUGAGAAACUGCAUGGGUUUGUUUUUCUGUAUUUUGAAUUAGGCAUCUCCACUGAGGUAUUUUCAGCUAAGAACAUAACCUUUGUUCUUUUAAAGUUCCAGUUAACUUAAAUCAACUGCUGACCUGUAAAAUAAGUUAUCCUCACAUUUUCUUCUUGCAUUUUCAUGUUGGCAAUAAAGAUGCUCUUCCUGUGAUCAUUUGCAGGUGCUCUCCAAAGACACCAGAGGUACUCCCAGGACAGACAGAGGGAGCUGUAUCUCCAGUUUUCUCUUUUAGAAAGACAUCUAUACACAAGCUGUCAAGUUUAAACUUGCAA